GACAGAGGGUGCAAACGUUGUUCGGAAUUACUGGGCGUAAAGCGCGUGUAGGCUGCUUGGAAAGUCGGAUGUGAAGCCCUGGGCUCAACCUAGGAAGUGCAUUCGAAACUUCUGAGCUGGAGUUCUGGAGAGGAAGGCGGAAUUCUCGGUGUAGAGGUGAAAUUCGUAGAUAUCGAGAGGAACACCGGUGGCGAAGGCGGCCUUACUGGACAGUGACUGACGCUGAGACGGCGAAAGCGUGGGGAGCCAAACAGGG
rnacentral:rRNA from 1 species